AUGUCUUCAGCCGGAUCAGGGGCUUCGUCUGCAGCCGCAAUCACAACUGGAAGAACGAGAAAAGAUGUAGCAUGGGAGCAUGCUUUACCAAUUAUUGAUGAGUUUAGGACCAAGAACAGAGUUGGGUGCAAAUAUUUCUUGAACUUUUAUAAUGGUGGCAUUACAAGAUUUAAGAAGCACUUGGCUGGACUGAGAAAGGACUGUGUACCUUGCACGCAGGUUCCUGAUCAUGUUAGAGAGCAAAUGAGUGCCUUGAUAUCUGAGAAUGAUAAAAAGAAGGAUAAAUCACUAUAUAAAAUGUUGGCGCUACGAGAGGAGGUUAGAGGGAUGUAUGAUCACGGUGGGAAUGAGGAUGAAGAUUGCGAAAUUGUUGAGUUUUCUCCUGCAGCAAGUGGAAGCUCUCAACUUCCUAAGAAGCCUCUGAUCAAGGGUCCAAUGGACAGGCAUCGUGGAUGGCCAGGAAUAGGGAAACAAACAAUGGUGAAUGCUCAUUACAAGAUCAAAGAAGCAAAGACAACUUAUGAUUAUAUCUGCGAGUUCUUCAUUGAGGGUGCCCUUGCACAUAAUGUUGCUAGUCUUAAAUCAUUUACUCGAAUAGUGGAAGCAAUUGGACAAUUUGGUCCAGGAUUGAAGCCACCUACACAUUAUCAGCUUGCCAAUCCUUUGUUGAAGAUACAAGUUAGCAAGGUAGAUGAAAUGUUGAAGGUCCAAAAGGAGGCAUGGGUUUCUAUUGGAUGCUCUAUAAUGACUGAUGCUUGGACAGAUCACCGUGGAAGGAGCUUAAUGAAUUUGGUUGCCCAUUCUUCCAGAGGCGUGUGUUUCCUCGGUGCCAUUGAAGCUUCAAUGGAGGUUCACGAUGCCAAGUUCAUCUUCAGCUUGGCCAUGUCUUGCAUUUCUGAAAUUGGUGCCGAAAAGAUUGUUCAACUAGUCACGGACAAUGCAAGUAACAAUAUUGCAGUAGCCAAGUUACUUAAGCAGAAGCAUCCUCAAAUAUUCUGGACCUCAUGUGCAGCCCACACAAUCAACCUAAUGCUCCAAGACAUUGGAAAUAUACCCAUAGUCAGCUCAACAAUUACCAAUGGUAAGACCGUCACAAAUUUCUUUUAUGCACACACUAGAUUGUUGGCUAUUCUUCGCAAGUAUGCCGAAGGUGAUUUAGUCAGAGCUAGUGCUACUCGAUUUGCAAGUCACUACUUGAACUUGAAGAGUUUGUAUGGAAAGAGGAAGCAGCUAAAGCUAAUGUUUGCAUCAAAUGAUUGGGCUGGCAGUAGUUAUGCUAAGAAGUCAUUGGGCAAAUGUGUGUACAAGCUCGUAAUGGACAAUAAGUUUUGGGCCAAGAUAAACCUGCUAGUGAAUUAUUUUGAGCCACUUGCCAAUGUGCUUAGGCGGGUUGAUGGAGACACUCCAGCCAUGGGGUUCUUAUAUGGUGAUCUUCUCCAAGCAAAGCAGGAAAUAGCAGUUUGGUUCAACCAUGUUGAGAAAAAAUAUGGUCCUAUUUGGGAGAUCAUAGAUAGAAGGUGGGAUAACAAGACGAAAACAGCAUUGCACAAAGCUGGUUAUUUGUUGAACCCUUUCUUCUACUAUGAUAGACAGAGUGAAAUGGCUGAAGAAGAUUUCAUGGAAGCAGUGAUAGAGUGUGCAUCUGUUAUGUACAAAAAUAACACAGAGGUGCAAGACAAUAUUGUCUCCCAGCUUAGUUAUUACACCAAAGCCAUAGAUUCAUUUGGAACUGAGAUGGCCAUUAGACUACACAAAGUAGCAACUAUCACUCCUGCAAGAUGGUGGACCGUGCCUGGAACUUCUGCAAAGGACUUGAAGAAGAUGGCUAUUAGAAUCUUGAGCUUAACUUGUAGUUCUUUGGCAUGUGAAAGAAAUUGGUCUGCAUUUGAGAGGGUACAUUCAAAGAAGAGGACCAGACUAGGCCAGAAGAAGUUGAAUAACCUUGUUUAUGUGAUGUUCAACAAGAGGCUGGACUCGAAGUACUCCGAGAGGGAAAGGGACCCACUGCUUGCAAAAUACAUUGAAGAUGAGCCACCAAAUGAGUGGAUGUUGGAUGAAGAGCUAUCUGAAGAUGAAGCUGAAAUUGACAUCAAUUCAAAGGGGAAACAAAAACCUGUAGCUUCAAGAACUAGAGGUAAAAGAGCUCGUACAAUUCAAGAUGUUGAAGAUGAGGAGGAAGUGGCAGAAGAAGAGGAGAUGUAA
rnacentral:rRNA from 1 species